UACGGAGGGUGCGAGCGUUGUCCGGAAUCAUUGGGCGUAAAGGGCGCGUAGGUGGCCCGGUCAGUCCGUGGUGAAAGCGCGGGGCUCAACCCCGCGUCGGCCAUGGAUACUGCUGGGCUUGAGCACUGUAGAGGCAGGCGGAAUUCCGGGUGUAGCGGUGGAAUGCGUAGAGAUCCGGAAGAACACCGGUGGCGAAGGCGGCCUGCUGGGCAGUAGCUGACACUGAGGCGCGACACGGUGGGGAGCAAACAGA
rnacentral:rRNA from 1 species